UACGGGGGGGACAAGCGUUGUUCGGAUUUCCUGGGCGUAAAGGGAGCGUAGGCGGGUGCUUAAGUUGGAUGUUUAACACCGGGGCCCAACCCCGGCGUGGCAUUCCAAACUGGGCAUCUUGAAUGGGACAGAGGCCAGUGGAAUUGGAGGUGUAGCGGUGGAAUGCGUAGAGAUCUCCAAGAACACCAGUUGCGAAGGCGGCUGGCUGGGUCCACAUUGACGCUGAGGCGCGAAAGCGUGGGGAGCAAACAGG
rnacentral:rRNA from 1 species